GUGAGGAAUAUUGGGCAAUGGGGGAAACCCUGACCCAGCGACGCCGCGUGAGGGAAGAAGGCCUUAGGGUCGUAAACCUCUGUUGUGUGGGAAGAAGAGCGUGACGGUACCACACGAGGAAGUCCCGGCUAACUACGUGCCAGCAGCCGCGGUAAUACGUAGGGGACGAGCGUUGUCCGGAUUUACUGGGCGUAAAGGGCGCGUAGGCGGUCAUUUAAGUCAGCUGUGAAAUGGUGCGGCUUAACCGCAUCAUGCGGUUGAAACUGGAUGACUGGAGUGCUGGAGAGGCAAGUGGAAUUCCCAGUGUAGCGGUGAAAUGCGUAGAUAUUGGGAAGAACACCGGUGGCGAAGGCGACUUGCUGGCCAGCAACUGACGCUGAGGCGCGAAAGCCAGGGGAGCAAACGGGAUUAGAAACCCGGGUAGUCC
rnacentral:rRNA from 1 species